GGCACGGGAGGCAUGCCCGAGGACAGAGCAGCGGGACCAACGGUCCUGGGGAGACUGGGGGGUGAUGGCGGUGGGGGAAGCGGGAGGUGAGCAG
rnacentral:miRNA from 1 species